UCUUCUCCCCCACCCCCAGCUCGCAAUGCCUUUCCCCGUUCCUCCUAUCGCCCCCAGCUCCCGAUCCGUUUCCCGACGCCGCUCCUCUCAUCACCGGGAACUGGCACCGCCCGACGCCAGCUGCUCCUCCUCCCGACGCCGCUCCUCCCGUCGCCGAUCCGGGGACUGGCGCCUCCCGUAGCCGCCGAUCCGUUCCAGACGCCGCACCUCCACCCGUCGCCGCUCCCCUCCUUCGACGACGCUCCCUCCUCCCGACGGCAUUCCGCGAGACCGUCCUCCCGUCGUCGUCACCCCCAGGAGAUCCUACUAUGGCCCACCGAUGAGAUCCUCCCCUGGCCUGCCUUCAGGUCAUGGAUGAAUCGAUGGCACAGCGUGGAUGAAUCGCCUACGUAUCCCCGCAUUCAAGGUGACGCCCUCCCAUUCCCGAUGCCGCUCACUCCUCCCGUUGCUGUCGAUCCUCCUCCGGCCUGCCCUCCGAUCAGGAUGGAUUCUCGGCAGAGAUUGGCCCACAGAUGCAUAUCAACCCAAGCAGGGUGGUGUUCGAGCAGCUUCUGAUUUGGUUGUCAAUCGUGUGCCCUGGUUCCGAUCGGCUCGGCCCUGUGGAUUGGAGACGACGGCCACCAGGGAUCCAAUCUCCUCCACUGUAGCUUGGGGUUCCUUCCCUGGAGCGGCAGAUUUGUUUGGAUGAGUAUUCAUUGAUGCCUACGUUUAUCUCCCUCACUUGUGGAUAGUCCGAGGACACAAGGAGCAUAUUCCGUUGGGUCUCCUGUCCUGGACUUCAAAUGCUCCUGGUGCUCCUUGAGAAGCUCAGCUUCAGGCAUGAGAGGUGCGGUGGACGCCAUGAUCUCCAUUGACAGUGUCAUCUUUCAGCAGUACCCAUCGUCACCAUUUACAUUGACAAUAUGUUUGCUUGAAACUCUUGAGCCGCAACCUGGGCUGGAAGAAACACCGGCUGGUCCACUCAUCAAACGCUAUAAUGACAAAAAAAUUGAAGACAUAGUAAAGAAUAUUAAGGAUACAAUGAAUGUCAGACAAGAAAUUGUCAAGCACAAGGCCAAGCCUCAACCCCCGAAGUAAAGAAACCACCUUCCGGAAAGCAAAAGGUUGCAGGACAACAGAUAGUGAUUCAAAUUCCAUAUGUGGAUGAUUUGCUCAAGGAAAGUGAGGUUGAUAAGGGUGAGGAGGGUAUUCUUUUGAAAGAAAUAAACAGCAAAAUUGAGUCUGAUCAAACCAAGUUGAUGGAAGAAAUUAAAAAAAUAAAGGACCUCCAGUUGCAAAAUAAUGAAGAUUUAAAGAAGAUUGUUGCGGAACAUUCAAUCUUGUCUAAGAUAUAUAAUGAGAUAAAAAACAGGGCCCAAAUGAAAGACAAAAAAAUAAAAGCGCUGAUGAGAAACAAUUGUGUAAUGCAAAUACAUGGCGUGGGGAUGAUGGAGGAUUUAUUUGUUGAGACCUUCAAACCAGGUGGUCACAUGCACGAUGACGUUUUGGAAGCUCUCAGGCUCAUAUGGAACAAAUCUUGGGAUGACCGGAUUAUGCUUUCACUUGGUGCUGUAGUAAGUGCCAAUUAGCAAUAUUACUACUACUUUCAAUGAAUUUAUGUUGUUUAGCAAUUUCACCAUGCUUUUUUUCCUAGGAACAAUUGUUAGGGAAGAAUAAAAGAUCUGGUUUUCUUGAAAGAGAAUUUAACGGCUAUGACAAACAGAAAAUACAUUUGAUUUGUACCUUUUCCAAUUCUAUUUAAUUCUAUUUGUAUUCUUAAAUUUGGCUUUUUGAUAUAAUAGUUGUUAGCUUAGAAUUCCUUGAAUGCUCAACUUUUACCUACACCUUUUACCUGCCUGUAACCUUGGAUUUUACCUGCUACACACCUACACCUUUUACCUGCCUGUAACCUUAGAUUUUACCU